GUGGGGAAUAUUGGACAAUGGGCGAAAGCCUGAUCCAGCCAUGCCGCGUGUGUGAAGAAGGCCUUUUGGUUGUAAAGCACUUUAAGCGAGGAGGAGGCUACCGAGAUUAAUACUCUUGGAUAGUGGACGUUACUCGCAGAAUAAGCACCGGCUAACUCUGUGCCAGCAGCCGCGGUAAUACAGAGGGUGCGAGCGUUAAUCGGAUUUACUGGGCGUAAAGCGUGCGUAGGCGGCUUUUUAAGUCGGAUGUGAAAUCCCCGAGCUUAACUUGGGAAUUGCAUUCGAUACUGGGAAGCUAGAGUAUGGGAGAGGAUGGUAGAAUUCCAGGUGUAGCGGUGAAAUGCGUAGAGAUCUGGAGGAAUACCGAUGGCGAAGGCAGCCAUCUGGCCUAAUACUGACACUGAGGUGCGAAAGCAUGGGGAGCAAACAGGAUUAGAUACCCGAGUAGUCC
rnacentral:rRNA from 1 species